rnacentral:rRNA from 1 species
CUGGCUCAGAUUGAACGCUGGCGGCAGGCCUAACACAUGCAAGUCGAGCGGAUGAAGAGGGCUUGCUCUCUGAUUCAGCGGCGGACGGGUGAGUAAUGCCUAGGAAUCUGCCUGAUAGUGGGGGACAACGUUUCGAAAGGAACGCUAAUACCGCAUACGUCCUACGGGAGAAAGCAGGGGACCUUCGGGCCUUGCGCUAUCAGAUGAGCCUAGGUCGGAUUAGCUAGUUGGUGAGGUAAUGGCUCACCAAGGCGACGAUCCGUAACUGGUCUGAGAGGAUGAUCAGUCACACUGGAACUGAGACACGGUCCAGACUCCUACGGGAGGCAGCAGUGGGGAAUAUUGGACAAUGGGCGAAAGCCUGAUCCAGCCAUGCCGCGUGUGUGAAGAAGGUCUUCGGAUUGUAAAGCACUUUAAGUUGGGAGGAAGGGCAUUAACCUAAUACGUUAGUGUUUUGACGUUACCGACAGAAUAAGCACCGGCUAACUUCGUGCCAGCAGCCGCGGUAAUACGAAGGGUGCAAGCGUUAAUCGGAAUUACUGGGCGUAAAGCGCGCGUAGGUGGUUUGUUAAGUUGAAUGUGAAAGCCCCGGGCUCAACCUGGGAACUGCAUCCAAAACUGGCAAGCUAGAGUAUGGCAGAGGGUGGUGGAAUUUCCUGUGUAGCGGUGAAAUGCGUAGAUAUAGGAAGGAACACCAGUGGCGAAGGCGACCACCUGGGCUAAUACUGACACUGAGGUGCGAAAGCGUGGGGAGCAAACAGGAUUAGAUACCCUGGUAGUCCACGCCGUAAACGAUGUCGACUAGCCGUUGGGAUCCUUGAGAUCUUAGUGGCGCAGCUAACGCAUUAAGUCGACCGCCUGGGGAGUACGGCCGCAAGGUUAAAACUCAAAUGAAUUGACGGGGGCCCGCACAAGCGGUGGAGCAUGUGGUUUAAUUCGAUGCAACGCGAAGAACCUUACCUACUCUUGACAUCCAGAGAACUUUCCAGAAAUGGAUUGGUGCCUUCGGGAACUCUGAGACAGGUGCUGCAUGGCUGUCGUCAGCUCGUGUUGUGAAAUGUUGGGUUAAGUCCCGCAACGAGCGCAACCCUUAUCCUUUGUUGCCAGCGGUUAGGCCGGGAACUCAAAGGAGACUGCCAGUGAUAAACUGGAGGAAGGUGGGGAUGACGUCAAGUCAUCAUGGCCCUUACGAGUAGGGCUACACACGUGCUACAAUGGCGCAUACAAAGAGAAGCGACCUCGCGAGAGCAAGCGGACCUCAUAAAGUGCGUCGUAGUCCGGAUUGGAGUCUGCAACUCGACUCCAUGAAGUCGGAAUCGCUAGUAAUCGUGGAUCAGAAUGCCACGGUGAAUACGUUCCCGGGCCUUGUACACACCGCCCGUCA